UACGUAGGGUGCGAGCGUUGUCCGGAAUUAUUGGGCGUAAAGGGCUCGUAGGCGGUCUGUCACGUCGAAAGUGAAAACUCAGGGCUUAACCCUGAGCCUGCUUCGGAUACGGGCAGACUAGAGGUAUGCAGGGGAGAAUGGAAUUCCUGGUGUAGCGGUGAAAUGCGCAGAUAUCAGGAGGAACACCAGUGGCGAAGGCGGUUCUCUGGGCAUUACCUGACGCUGAGGAGCGAAAGUGUGGGGAGCGAACAGG
rnacentral:rRNA from 1 species